UUAAAGAAUUUGGAAACUGCAACUUGCAGACCUGGAGAAUUUGAAGACUUCAACUUGCAGACUAGGAGUAUUUGAAGAAUUUGAAG
rnacentral:pre_miRNA from 1 species